rnacentral:rRNA from 1 species
AGCGAACGCUGGCGGCAGGCUUAACACAUGCAAGUCGAGCGGGCACUUUCGGGUGUCAGCGGCGGACGGGUGAGUAACGCGUGGGAACGUGCCCUCUGGCUCGGAAUAACUCAGGGAAACUUGAGCUAAUACCGGAUACGCCCUUUUGGGGAAAGGCUUGCUGCCGGAGGAUCGGCCCGCGUCUGAUUAGCUAGUUGGUGAGGUAACGGAUCACCAAGGCGACGAUCAGUAGCUGGUCUGAGAGGAUGAUCAGCCACACUGGGACUGAGACACGGCCCAGACUCCUACGGGAGGCAGCGGUGGGGAAUAUUGGACAAUGGGCGCAAGCCUGAUCCAGCCAUGCCGCGUGAGUGAUGAAGGCCUUAGGGUUGUAAAGCUCUUUUAUCCGGGACGAUAAUGACGGUACCGGAGGAAUAAGCCCCGGCUAACUUCGUG